UAAAUUGGCUAAGAUUGGUUCCCACAGCAAUGGAGCAAGAGAGAAUUAUGAAAACGGUAGAGGCUAAAUUGUAGUCAAAUUGGUCUACCCUUUUGCUUGUCAACCAGUAGUCGAGAAAGGGUCCGACCAGUAGAAGAGAGCCGGCCUGCGCUGGAGCUGUGUGUCCUAACAGGUUGAAGGAACUCAGCGAAUACUUCCGUUGGAGGAAAUGCACAUAGUAUUGCUGCAGAGAAGUACUCCAUACGGCGAUAACGGCAGCGACAAAGCCUCUGGUAUUAACACUGACAUCAGUUACAGUACAUACUCCAACACCCAAGAGAACAACUGCAAUGCUCAACUUCGUAUCUCUGGAGUAUCGAAUCUUGUCCAAG
rnacentral:misc_RNA from 1 species